rnacentral:rRNA from 1 species
UACGUAGGGUGCAAGCGUUGUCCGGAAUUAUUGGGCGUAAAGAGCUCGUAGGCGGUUCGUCGCGUCGGCUGUGAAAACCUGAGGCUCAACCUCAGGCCUGCAGUCGAUACGGGCGGACUUGAGUACUGCAGGGGAGACUGGAAUUCCUGGUGUAGCGGUGAAAAUGCGCAGAUAUCAGGAGGAACACCGGUGGCGAAAGGCGGGUCUCUGGGCAGUAACUGACGCUGAGGAGCGAAAAGCGUGGGGAGCGAAACAGG